AGGCGAAAAGAACCCCGGAGAGGGAGUGAAAUAGAACCUGAAACCCUGUGCUUACAAGCACACAAAGCACGUCAAGGUGUGAUGUGGUACUUUUUGUAGAACGGUCCGGCGAGCGUAUGAAUGCAGCAAGGUUAAGGGCUUAUAGUCCGUAGCCGAAGCGAGAGCGAGUUCGAAUAGAGCGUCAAGUUGCAUUUAUAGGGCCCGAAACCGGGUGACCUACCCAUGCUCAGGGUGAAGUGGC
rnacentral:rRNA from 1 species